rnacentral:rRNA from 1 species
UACGAAGGGUGCAAGCGUUACUCGGAAUUACUGGGCGUAAAGCGUGCGUAGGCGGUUUGUUAAGUCCGUUGUGAAAGCCCUGGGCUCAACCUGGGAAUUGCAGUGGAUACUGGCGAGCUAGAGUGCGGUAGAGGAUGGUGGAAUUCCCGGUGUAGCGGUGAAAUGCGUAGAGAUCGGGAGGAACACCAGUGGCGAAGGCGAUCACCUGGGGUUGUUCUGACGCUGAGGAGCGAAAGCUAGGGGAGCAAACGGG